AGAAUCAACGCUGGCGGCGUGCCUAACACAUGCAAGUCGAACGAGAAAGCGGGGGCAACUCCGUGAGUAAAGUGGCGUACGGGUGAGUAACACGUAGCUAACCUACCCUCGAGUGAGGAAUAACCUGGGGAAACUCGGGCUAAUACCGGAUACGUCCGUAAGGAGAAAGAUUUAUCGCUGAAGGAUCGGCCCGCGUCUGAUUAGCUAGUUGGUGGGGUAACGGCUCACCAAGGCGACGAUCAGUAGCUGGUCUGAGAGGAUGAUCAGCCUCACUGGUACUGAGACACGGCCCAGACUCCUACGGGAGGCAGCAGUGGGGAAUAUUGGACAAUGGGCGCAAGCCUGAUCCAGCCAUGCCGCGUGGGUGAUGAAGGCCCUAGGGUUGUAAAGCCCUUUCGGCGGGGAAGAUAAUGACGGUACCCGCAGAAGAAGCCCCGGCUAACUUCGCGCCAGCAGCCGC
rnacentral:rRNA from 1 species